rnacentral:rRNA from 1 species
CAGCAGCCACGGGAAUACAGAGGGUGCGAGCGUUAAUCGGAUUUACUGGGCGUAAAGCGUGUGUAGGUUGUUGUUCAAGUCAGUUGUGAAAUCCCUGGGCUCAACCUGGGAACUGCUUCUGAGACUGAACGACUAGAGUACGGUAGAGGGUGGUGGAAUUUCCGGUGUAGCGGUGAAAUGCGUAGAUAUCGGAAGGAACAUCAAUGGCGAAGGCAGCCACCUGGGCCUGUACUGACACUGAGACACGAAAGCGUGGGGAUCAAACAGGAUUAGAUACCCCGGUAGUCCCUGUCUCUUAUAC